CCUACGGGGGGCAGCAGUGGGGGAUAUUGCACAAUGGGGGGAACCCUGAUGCAGCGACGCCGCGUGGGUGAAGGAGCGUUUCGGCGCGUAAAGCCCUAUCGGCAGGGAAGAAGGAGGACGGUACCUGACUACGCAGCCCCGGCUACCUACGUGCCAGCAGCCGCGGUAAUACGUAGGGGGCAAGCGUUAUCCGGAUUUACUGGGUGUAAGGGGGGCGCAGACGGCAGCGCAAGCCAGGAGUGAAAGCCCGGGGCCCAACCCCGGGACUGCUCUUGGAACUGCGCGGCUGGAGUGCAGGAGGGGCAGGCGGAAUUCCUGGUGUAGCGGUGAAAUGGGUAGAUAUCAGGAGGAACACCGGGGGCGAAGGCGGCCGGCUGGACGGGGACUGACGUUGAGGCCCGAAAGCGUGGGAGCAAACAGGAUUAGAUACCCUUGUAGUC
rnacentral:rRNA from 1 species